rnacentral:tRNA from 1 species
GCGCCGGUGGUGUAAUGGAGUAGAGCAUUCCCACUCGGUGAGUAGGAGGUGCAGGUUCGAGUCCCGCCAGCCGCU